GCGGAGCGAAGGGAGGAUGCGCCCCGGAGACGAAGCGUCGACAGCUGCCGCCGCGGCUGCUGCGGUGGAGCUGCCGACAAAGCGAGGCGGCUGGUGGUGGACACACUGCUGGAUGACUGUAACGUCUUGUGUAUA